AGAGUUUGAUCCUGGCUCAGAGCGAACGCUGGCGGCAGGCUUAACACAUGCAAGUCGAACGGGCGUAGCAAUACGUCAGUGGCAGACGGGUGAGUAACGCGUGGGAACGUACCUUUUGGUUCGGAACAACACAGGGAAACUUGUGCUAAUACCGGACAAGCCCUUACGGGGAAAGAUUUAUCGCCGAAAGAUCGGCCCGCGUCUGAUUAGCUAGUUGGUGAGGUAAUGGCUCACCAAGGCGACGAUCAGUAGCUGGUCUGAGAGGAUGAUCAGCCACAUUGGGACUGAGACACGGCCCAAACUCCUACGGGAGGCAGCAGUGGGGAAUAUUGGACAAUGGGGGCAACCCUGAUCCAGCCAUGCCGCGUGAGUGAUGAAGGCCCUAGGGUUGUAAAGCUCUUUUGUGCGGGAAGAUAAUGACGGUACCGCAAGAAUAAGCCCCGGCUAACUUCGUGCCAGCAGCCGCGGUAAU
rnacentral:rRNA from 1 species